CUCAUAUCGCGUUUCCAGAUCGCGUUUUUUCACUCUCCUCUACCUCACUUCACGUUGAACCUCUCUCAGCCUCUCUCUCAGAUCGCGAUUCCUUGACUCCUUCUCAGCGAUGGCGAACUCCAUGGCUUGAAGGGAUUAGGGCUCGAAUUUAUCUUGUUUUGGUAAAAUCGAGUGGUUUCCUGGGUUUGGUUUCUUCGAUUUCUUCCACUGUGCACGCUCUGCUUCAGAUCCAAACAAGAUCAGUAAUUUUGAGUAUCUAAUGCAAUUCAAUACACUGGCUGAGCCUAGUUAUAAUGAUAUAACGCAGGUUGUCUUUUUUCUUAGUGUAUUGCUUUCUAUCAUUGAUCUCUUCAAUCAUAUCUUCAGUUUCUCGUCCUACUUUAGCUGUUUGCAGUAAAGUCGUGCACCUACUUCAAAGCUUCCUCUUGUUUAUUUUCACUUGUACACAAUAUUUUCAAGAGUGAUUCAUUGCCAUUAUGUUUAAUCUGUUUCAUUCUUUCCAUGUGUGUAAGGGAAAGCUUUAUACCUUUACCAGCUUAGGUUUUCAUAAUGUAAAUGAAAAUCUGAACUGGCAGUGUGUACCUGCAUUCAUAGAAUUUGCGUGUAGCUUAGCUGUGCAAAUUUUUAUUGUUUGAGUAUCUUGUGAACUUGCAUUCUUUUAAGUUUAUAUAUAUAUGAAGUUUUUGAAAGCUUUUCCAUACUGAUGAACUUUUUCUGCUUGGUC